AGCAUUUUUGCGCGCACGAGCACAAAUGACCUUUCUCGCGGGCGAGCGCGAGCCCAGCGCCAUCUACAAUGUGACCCGAGUGGUAGCCGGCUGCGCCCGGCCAUUUCACUGCGCGCGUGUCACCUGAGCGCACGGUUCGAUUUGGCGCGACAUUUGAUUUCACCGCGCGCGCUUUGAGAAGGGCAUGGACAAAAGGCGGAACGGCUUGGACCUCCCAUCAGGCGAUGCUGCAAAUUGACGCCUGGGUCCAAGACGUGGACCACCUGCAACCGUCAACAACGCGCAGUGUGACCCCGUCUGCUCCUGCUGGCGUGUCUAGCGCCACUGGCCGUCCGGGCAUCUCCACGGCACCACACGGCUCACAAGUGGCGGCUGAUGGUGGCUCGGACGCCGGUCCCGGCACGGGAAGGGAGGGGCCACAGCGGUCUCUUGGUAUCGUCACGCAGCGCUACAGCUGGCUCCAGCGCUGGUCCGAACGCCUGCAUCGGUGCCAGAGACGCUGGCGCCAGGCCGCUCAUCUCUAAGACUCGUCACGCAGCACUACAGCUGGCUCCAGCGCUGGUCCGAACGCCUGCAUCGGUGCCAGAGACGCUGGCGCCAGGCCGCUCAUCUCUAAGACUCGUCACGCAGCGCUACAGCUGGCUCCAACGCUGGUCCGAACGCCUGCAUCGGUGCCAGAGACGCUGGCGCCAGGCCGCUCAUCUCUAAGACUCGUCACGCAGCGCUACAGCUGGCUCCAGCGCUGGUCCGAACGCCUGCAUCGGUGCCAGAGACGCUGGUGCCAGGCCGCUCAUCUCUAAGACUCGUCACGCAGCGCUACACCCGGCUCCAGCGCUGGUCCGAACGCCUGCAUCGGUGCAAGAGACGCUGGCGCUAGGCCGCUCAUCUUAAGACUCGUCACGCAGCGCUACACCAAGCUCCAGCGCUGGUCCGACCGCUUGCAUCGGUGCCAGAGACGUUUGGAUCGGGACCGCUCAUCCCCCUAGACUCACCAAUUAGCGCCACACCCGGCUCCAGCGCUAGUCUGAACGUUGCGUCGGUGCCAGGAGCGCUGACCCCAGGCAAAUCAUAUUCCCUGGACUCAUUUUUAAAACAGCUCUCGGUAGUUAAAAGAGCAACAAUGGCGCUGAGUUUAGUAUAUUGAUCUGCAGUUAGCCAAUGCAUUAAUUGCAGUCUAGCUGCAUUCUCGACAAAGUUAGCAGUGAUGUGUUCGCGGGUUCGGUUGGGGGUUGUUGGGCUUUUUCCCUCACCCAAAGACAGUGUGGGAAAGCCAAUACAUAGACCCGGAACCACACCACUGUCUUUGCGAGCGCGAACCUACGAGAAAUGCAGCAUUUUUGCGCGCACGAGCACAAAUGACCUUUCUCGCGGGCGAGCGCGAGCCCAGCGCCAUCUACAAUGUGACCCGAGUGGUAGCCGGCUGCGCCCGGCCAUUUCACUGCGCGCGUGUCACCUGAGCGCACGGUUCGAUUUGGCGCGACAUCCACCGUCCGCCCCACCGCCGCCAGCUUUGGCAUAUGUAUCUAGCCAGCAACUGUGUUAGACAUACUUGUGCUCUGUCAAAAGCUUUAUCAUUUGAUUGUUUGUGAUCGGCUAUGGGCUUUUUCCCUCACCCAAAGACAGUGUGGGAAAGCCAAUACAUAGACCCGGAACCACA